AGGCGAUCUUAUAAAAGACAGUAUUAGACAUGCAAAAAAUAUGUCUAGACCUUCAGACAAAAUCAAGAUGAAAUGACAAGAGAAACUAGUUAAAACAAAUUAAAAGAACACUGAGUAACAUUACUAGGAGGUUAUUCCCCAUAAAAUAAAAGUGCUUAAUGCAUGGAAAAGAAAUCCAAAUGGAAUCUUGUUGGUAAAAAAAAGUUAUAAUUAUUUAGCGUUUUGAACCUUUAAUAAAGAGAGAAAGAACUGCCACAUAUGUGCUUUUACCUAUGGUCUUGUGAGAUCUUUUCUACAUGGAUGAUAUAGGACACGGAUUAAAACUGAACUC